rfam:Camelus ferus unplaced genomic scaffold scaffold856, whole genome shotgun sequence.
GAGGGUAGAGCUCAGUGGUAGAGCACAAGUUUAGCAUGCAUGAGGUCCUGGGUUCAAUCCCCAGUGUCUCUG